UCAAAGUUUAAGGUCAAUUCAAAAACUGACAUGAAACAAAAUCAGAUAUACUAACUAACCAGACCAGUAUAUUUAUGCAUUCUUCCAGCAGAAUGUUCUUUGGUCCAAGUGAAAACAUAUACAGCUAUAAAUAACUGCAGCAAAAAGUCAUUUGCCUGCAGCCAUGCUGGAGCACCACCUUUAGUCGAACAAAUCGACCCCAGGACUUAUUCUUUCCAUGCAGCUGUGGUCAUGCUGGAGCACCAGUGCGAAAAUAAUAAUAAUGAGGUUGAAUGCAAAUAUUUUUGGCAAGCUAUAAGAUGGCAACUCUGCAGCAUAUUUUACAAACUUGUUACUUCACUCUUCCAGCAGAACUAGCCAGCAUACAAGACUUGCCAAAGUUAGCAUGGAGUUAUAAAUAACCAAAGAAGUUAGUUGCCUUUGCAGUCUAUAUUUCCUAACAGCAGAAUAAAUUAUCUACUUUCUGGUGCCUGAAGCAGAUUUGCAAAUAAACACUUCUUGGGAAUAA